rnacentral:rRNA from 1 species
GAUGAACGCUGGCGGCGUGCCUAAUACAUGCAAGUCGAACGAAGCGUGGACGGGGGAGUAACACGUGGAUAACCUCCGAUAUAACUGGGGUAAAUUGGGGAAACCGGUGCUAAACCGGAUACUUAGAGGUUGAUCCGCGAUGCAUUAGCUAGUUGGUAAGGUAACGGCUUACAAAGGCAACGAUGCAUAGCCGACCUGAGAGGGUGAUCGGCCACACGGGAACUGAGACACGGUCCAGACUCCUACGGGAGGCAGCAGGAGGGAAUCUUCCGCAAUGGGCGAAAGCCUGACGGAGCAACGCCGCGUGAGUGAUGAAGGUUUUCGGAUCGUAAAACUCUGUUGUUAGAGAAGCGGUAUCUAACCAGAAAGCCACGGCUAACUACGUGCCAGAAGCCGCGGUAAUAC